CAAAGUGGGCCUUUGCCAGGAAAGCCUGAACUGAAGAGGAGGCUUGGCCUUCGGGGAAGGCAGCCUGUGUCCUGGCAGCUGGGUGUGUCUGCUCCAGGCAGGCUUCUCAGAGCCGCUGACUCCCUGGAUUAAUGCACUUUUGACCCAAGAGGGAAAAAAGGUGUAAAGAGCAGGGGCUACAGCAGUCGGCUUUUACAGGGUGGGACUUUUGAACUGGUGGGUUGGUGACAGCCCCAGCCCCACCCACCUAGACCAGCAGAGGCUCUGUCUUCCCCACCCCCUUCUCCUGCCUUCUUUCUUACCCUCUCCCACUACUUCUCUCCCUAGUCUUCUGAAGAGCAGCUGCCUAGGUGACACCUUUUGUUUCCAAAACCUUCUUUGUAGUUCUUCCCCUUCUCAAAAUAUUCCCUCUUUCCUCCUUCAAUGCCAGACUGUUGGCAUCUGAGAUGGGAAGAG